AUUCGGAGUUCGUAUGAAUAAGUUAUGAAUAUUUAAAAAUUGGGAUUUUUCUAUAAAUAGGUGGAAAAUCUGAUUUAUUUCGGAAGGACGAAAGUUUCUCAAAAUUGCAUUUUGGUCCCUGAAACUCUCCGUUCUCUCUCCUCCCUACGCAGCCGACCCGACUGACCCGACCCGGACCCAUCUCCCUCCUCCGGCGUCCUCCGGCCACGACCCGGCCAUCCCUGGCUUCGCCGUGAGCCGUCCAGUCGCCUGGUGCCAUCACCUUGCAUCAACGCUGCCCCCAGACGUGGAUCGAAGCCCCCCAGAGCCUAGCAUUCGACCCGACCGGAUCUUGGCCGUGCCGGCGUUGCACGGGCCGAUCCUCCCCAUUUUCGUGAUCUCCUCUUCCUCCUGAUCAUCCCCAUAUAAGCCUUGCAUGACGAUUUUGGGUGUAGAGCGCUUGAUCAAGGUUUGACUUUUUAGACGGCUCUGAUUCAAUCUGGAAUCAGAUCAGACGCUCCGGAUUAAUCGAACUUCAAAGCUUGAUCUAGGACGAUCUAAGCCAAACCAGACUUAGCUCCAGGUUAUCGACGGAUUGAUUUGGCGGACAAUUCGGGAAAAUUGUUGUUUUAGCUGUUAAGAAGACGCAGCUGGAUUAGAGCGGGUAGUCUUACAGGUCAGGAGAAUCAGGGCAGUGAUCGUGCGGUUUAGAGUAUUAGUAUUAGAUUUACAGCAAUUGUUUUGUGAGGAGAAUUAUACUCAUUUGAGUUUUACUAUUUGAUUUGGUGAGAGUGUGCUGUAAUAAGUAGCUUGAGGAUUUGGUUUAUGUAAUAUCAAAGGUGUAAUGUGCAGUUGAUUUUGAGAAAGAAAUUCUGAGA